rnacentral:rRNA from 1 species
AGUGAACGCUGGCGGUAGGCCUAACACAUGCAAGUCGAACGGCAGCACAGGAGAGCUUGCUCUCUGGGUGGCGAGUGGCGGACGGGUGAGGAAUACAUCGGAAUCUACUCUGUCGUGGGGGAUAACGUAGGGAAACUUACGCUAAUACCGCAUACGACCUACGGGUGAAAGCAGGGGAUCUUCGGACCUUGCGCGAUUGAAUGAGCCGAUGUCGGAUUAGCUAGUUGGCGGGGUAAAGGCCCACCAAGGCGACGAUCCGUAGCUGGUCUGAGAGGGGGUUCAGCCACACUGGAACUGAGACACGGUCCAGACUCUUACGGGAGGCAGCAGUGGGGAAUAUUGGACAAGGGGCGCAAGCCUGAUCCAGCCAUACCGCGUGGGUGAAGAAGGCCUUCGGGUUGUAAAGCCCUUUUGUUGAGAAAGAAAUCCAGCUGGCUAAUACCCGGUUGGGAUGACGGUACCCAAAGAAUAAGCACCGGCUAACUUCGUGCCAGCCGCCGCGGUAA